UUUCACUGAAACAAGGGGAAAGCUCAAAUGGGGUGUUGGCCCCGAGGCAGCAGUAAAGAAUUUUGUGCAAUAUACGAAAGUAAGACACAGAGAGGGCACCUUUUCUAGUCCGUCAAAUUAAGUGCCAGCAGACGCGGUGAAACUUAAGGGCUAGUCUUAUAGGCAAAAGCGUAAAGGGUGUGAUAGGCCGCCUUAUUUAAGAGAGUAAAUGGAAUUUUUCUGUAAUGGUGGUAUGUGUAAAUAGGAAAAAGAACUUUAGACGUGAAGACUAUUUACUUCUAAGAUUAUAAUGUGUUGGCUAAAACACGAGAGUGUGGGGAGCAAACAGGAUUAGGUACCCUGGUAGUCCAUACUGUAAAUAAUGAAAAAGAUGUGAAGCAAUUCUAAAAGGUAAGAACUUUUCCGCUUGAGUAGUACGAUCGCAAGAUUAAAAUUCAAAAAACUUGGCUGUUCACUGUUUUGAUUAGAGGAGCGUGUCGUUUAAUUCGAUAGUCCGCGAGAGACCUUACCCAAACUUGAAUCCCUCAUUGACAGGUAUUGCAUGGCCGUCGUCAAUUUGUGUAUUAAACAUAAAACAAAUUCAACCCAGUGGUUUGUCUAUUGGAUGAAGUCAGGUCUUAUUGUCCUAAUGUUUGGGGAUUAGAUGCGCUACAUUUUUUUAUACAAUGGGAAACUUUGAAUGUGAAACCCAAAAAUAAGAGUUCGGAAGGUGUCUGGAAUAUAACGGAAAGUUGGAUUUAAUAGUAAUUGAAAAGUAGAGCGUUUCAAUGAAAUUUAUUCAGUGUUAGUACAAAUUGCCCGUCGCCUUUGCUUAGAAAGGUUGUUUGGUUGCCCCUCAAGAGGGUUCCUAAUAUCUUCGAGGUAGAGUAAGUCGUAACA
rnacentral:rRNA from 1 species